rnacentral:tRNA from 1 species
GGAGACGUGGCCGAGCGGCUGAAGGCGGCGGUUUGCUAAACCGUUAUACAGGGCAACUUGUAUCAGGGGUUCGAAUCCCCUCGUCUCCGCCA